GACGAACGCUGGCGGCGUGCUUAACACAUGCAAGUCGAACGGUAAGGCCCUUCGGGGUACACGAGUGGCGAACGGGUGAGUAACACGUGGGUGAUCUGCCCUGCACUUCGGGAUAAGCCUGGGAAACUGGGUCUAAUACCGGAUAGGACUCCUGGCUUCAUGGUUGGGGGUGGAAAGCUUUUGCGGUGUGGGAUGGGCCCGCGGCCUAUCAGCUUGUUGGUGGGGUAAUGGCCUACCAAGGCGACGACGGGUAGCCGGCCUGAGAGGGUGACCGGUCAGAAUGGGAAUGAGAUACGGCCCAGACUCCUACGGGAGGCAGCAGUGGGGAAUAUUGCACAAUGGGCGCAAGCCUGAUGCAGCGACGCCGCGUGAGGGAUGACGGCCUUCGGGUUGUAAACCUCUUUCAGCUAUGACGAAGCGCAAGUGACGGUAGUAGCAGAAGAAGGACCGGCCAACUACGUGCCAGCCGCCGCCGUAA
rnacentral:rRNA from 1 species